rnacentral:rRNA from 1 species
UACGUAGGGGGCAAGCGUUGUCCGGAUUUAUUGGGCGUAAAGAGCGUGUAGGCGGUUAGGUAGGUCCGUUGUGAAAACUCGAGGCUCAACCUCGAGACGCCGAUGGAAACCAUCUGACUAGAGUCCGGAAGAGGAGAAUGGAAUUCCCGGUGUAGCGGUGAAAUGCGCAGAUAUCGUAAGGAAGACCAGUGGCGAAGGCGGGUCUCUGGACAGUUCCUGACGCUGAGGCACGAAGGCCAGGGGAGCAAACGGG